rnacentral:rRNA from 1 species
AGAGUUUGAUCCUGGCUCAGGAUGAACGCUAGCUACAGGCUUAACACAUGCAAGUCGAGGGGCAGCAUGGUCUUAGCUUGCUAAGGCCGAUGGCGACCGGCGCACGGGUGAGUAACACGUAUCCAACCUGCCGUCUACUCUUGGACAGCCUUCUGAAAGGAAGAUUAAUACAAGAUGGCAUCAUGAGUCCGCAUGUUCACAUGAUUAAAGGUAUUCCGGUAGACGAUGGGGAUGCGUUCCAUUAGAUAGUAGGCGGGGUAACGGCCCACCUAGUCUUCGAUGGAUAGGGGUUCUGAGAGGAAGGUCCCCCACAUUGGAACUGAGACACGGUCCAAACUCCUACGGGAGGCAGCAGUGAGGAAUAUUGGUCAAUGGGCGAGAGCCUGAACCAGCCAAGUAGCGUGAAGGAUGACUGCCCUAUGGGUUGUAAACUUCUUUUAUAAAGGAAUAAAGUCGGGUAUGUAUACCCGUUUGCAUGUACUUUAUGAAUAAGGAUCGGCUAACUCCGUGCCAGCAGCCGCGGUAAUACGGAGGAUCCGAGCGUUAUCCGGAUUUAUUGGGUUUAAAGGGAGCGUAGAUGGAUGUUUAAGUCAGUUGUGAAAGUUUGCGGCUCAACCGUAAAAUUGCAGUUGAUACUGGAUAUCUUGAGUGCAGUUGAGGCAGGCGGAAUUCGUGGUGUAGCGGUGAAAUGCUUAGAUAUCACGAAGAACUCCGAUUGCGAAGGCAGCCUGCUAAGCUGCAACUGACAUUGAGGCUCGAAAGUGUGGGUAUCAAACAGGAUUAGAUACCCUGGUAGUCCACACGGUAAACGAUGAAUACUCGCUGUUUGCGAUAUACUGCAAGCGGCCAAGCGAAAGCGUUAAGUAUUCCACCUGGGGAGUACGCCGGCAACGGUGAAACUCAAAGGAAUUGACGGGGGCCCGCACAAGCGGAGGAACAUGUGGUUUAAUUCGAUGAUACGCGAGGAACCUUACCCGGGCUUAAAUUGCAGAUGAAUUACGGUGAAAGCCGUAAGCCGCAAGGCAUCUGUGAAGGUGCUGCAUGGUUGUCGUCAGCUCGUGCCGUGAGGUGUCGGCUUAAGUGCCAUAACGAGCGCAACCCUU